GGACCUGCAGCCGCCAGGAUGGAGACCGAGGUGUCAGAUGCGAGUGACAGCCAGCUUCUGGACCAGGACCUGUAUGAUACUGACAGCUACGACGUCCCGGACCCAGGGCUGCUCAAGGAAAGGAAUGACUCGUUUCCGGAGCCAGUCCCACCGCUUUUUACCAGCAACUCUCGGCAGCAGAACAUGACCCCGGGUGCCCGCGCCCGCCAGCUGUGGCUGCUCCUCCGUGCAGGCCUCCGAGACUUCGUGGAAAAGGAAAAGAGAGCCGAGCUGUGCGUGGCACGCUUGACCCAUGGGCUAGAGCUGCUGCGCCAUCUGAAAGUGGCAGCCGAGCUGUGCUGGGUGGCACAGGAUCCAGUGGGCAGACGCUUCGUGGUGCUGGAUGGUGCCGGCUACCUCCACCUGCACAGAGAGGAUGGCUGGGCUUAUGAGAAGCUACAGGCCCCAGCCGUGCUCACUGGGCUGGUGGCUGUGCCUGGCCCCCUGGGUGCUGUGAGCCACUUCGUGGGCUGGGGCCCGGAGGGGCUGGCCAUACUAAGGCCUGACUUCAGCCUACUGUGGCUGAGCAAGCCAGGGGUGGGCGGGAUGCCGGACCACCAGCCCAUCUGCUGCCUGCCAGUGCCCAGCCUGGGGCUGUUGCUAGUGGCAUUGGCAGGUGGCAGCCUGGCGCUCUGGAAAUUCCGUUCAGGGGGUCGCCGUCUGGUGCUGUGGGGCUCACCUCUGCGGCUGCCACCAAGCUCUGCAGUUACACUCACCCGUUUGGUUCUGGGGCCCCUGUCUUCCCACCAAGUCCCAUGCUGCUUCGCGGCCUAUGGCUCUGCCGUGCUCAUCUUUGAUCUGCACACCUGGGCCCUCGUAGACGUCCGCCGGGACCUGCACAAAAUCACUAUCUCGGACUUGGCCUACUGCCUCGAGGUAGACGCAGUGGUGACAGCCUCUCGGGACAGCACGGUGAAGGUGUGGGAGACCGACUGGCGGCUCCGGAUGGUGUUCAUGGGCCACACAGGCCCUGUGACCGCCGUGGCCGUGCUCCCCAACUCGUCCCUGGUGCUGUCCGCCUCGCAGGACGGGACGCUGCGCACGUGGGACCUGCAGGCGGCGGCCCAGGUGGGCGAGGUGGCGCUGAGCGGCUGGGCCCGAGACGCGGCGGCGGCGCGCGUGGACCGCCUGCUGGCGCCCGCGGGCCCGGGCUGCCCGGUGCUGUCGUUGAGCGCGCGCGGCGUGGCCCUGUGGCGCCCCCGCGAGCUGUACGCCCCGCUGGCGCGGCUGUCGGCGCCGGUGCUGCUCGUGCAGGUGGCGCCCGCGCUGCCCGCUGCCCCGCGCGCCCUGCCCGCGCGCCUCGUGUGCGCCUGCGCCGACGGCUCGGUCCACCUGCUGGCGGCGGCCACGGGACGCCCGGUGAGCGCGCUGCUGCUGGGGGCCGCGGAGCCCGCGGCCGCGCUGCUCUACUGCCUGCCCCACGAGGCACUGUGGCUGCUGACGCGCGCCGGCCACCUGCUGUGCGCCACUGCCGCGCGCCGCCCCAUGCGCCUGCUGCUGCGGCUGCGCCCCCCGCCCGCCCCCGCGCCGCGGCCCUGCUGCCUGCACCUGUACAACCACCUCGCCGACCCGCGCAGUGCCCUCGCUGCCUGGGAGGCCGUGCGCCGCCGCGGCGGGGAGCUGCCCCCUGGCCACCUGGCCGGCGCCUGGGACGACAAGAACCGGUACCUGCCCGUGGUGGGCCACACGGAUGGCACCCUGUCGGUCCUUGAGUGGCGCCACGCGAAGACCGUCUUCCAAACGGCGGCACACAGCCCAGGCCCGGUCACCGCCAUUGCGUCCACCUGGAACAGCAUCGUGUCCUCGGGCAGCGGCGACCUGACCGUGAAGAUGUGGCGAGUCUACCCCUACGCGGAGGAGAGCCUGAGCCUGCUGCGGACCUUUUCCUGCUGGCACCCGGUGGUGGUGCUCUGUGCGCUGGGGAAGCGGGUCACUGUGGGCUUUGAGGACCCCGACACUGCCACCUACGGCUUGGUGCAGUUCGGCCUGGGCAACAGCCCCCGCUGUGAUCACCGGCCCCAGGAUGACCCCACAGACCACAUCACUGGCCUGUGCUGCUGCCCCACGCUCAAGCUGUAUGCCUCUUCCAGCCUGGACUGCACCGUCCGCAUCUGGACGGCGGAGAACCGCCUGCUGCGGCUCCUGCAGCUGGACAGCCCCCCUCAGGCCCUGGCCUUCUGCAGCAACAGUGGGGACCUGGUGUUGGCUCUGGGCUCCCGACUCUGCCUGGUGUCUCAUAGGCUCUACUUGCCCACAUCCUACCUGGUCAAAAAGCUGUGCCAGAAUGUCCCUGAGGUGCUGGAUGACCCUCCACUGCCCCUGACCAGCCAAGAGUCGCUGACCUCAGGCCAGCUGCAGAGGUUCACCAAGCUGCAUGGGGCGGCCAGUCUUAGCACAGACUUGUCUUUCAUCCAUCACCAGACGGGAACACCUCAGCAACCAGUGUUGGAGGAGGACUUGGAAGCCCUAGUUACUCGGGAUCAAGACCUUCAGCAGCUGAGACUGGGGCUGGUGGUCCCAGCAGCCCAGCCCCCACCUUCCUGGCAACAGCAGCAGGAGGCCUUUGACAACUACCUGUGCCUGGUCUAUGGCCCGGGCUUUCUGGGCGUGCCUUCUGGAAGGGAGUCCCAGCAGGAAAGCACUGUGACCCUCAUAGUGGAGAGAGAGACCUGGGACGUGUGCACCUUGCCCAGAGCUGCCAGCAGUGUUCGGCAGGCGGGGGUCUGUGCCGAAGCCCCAACAGUGCCAGCAGCCCACUCCCUACAGGACCCGGGAGCCGUGGGCCAGCACCUUGCCCACCCUCCUCAAGUCCACAUGCCCACCCCACACACACACCGGGGGGUGCACAGCAGGGCAUCCCAGCUGCUGGCCUGCUCCUCCCUGAGCGGUAACCUGGGCCUCAGUCUGGACCUGCAGCUGCAGCGGCUCCCAGGGGAGAAGCGUGUGGGCCCGGGCCCACCGACCCCCAACCUUCAGCACAGGGUUCCCCUCUUGACAAAGAGGCAGCCCAGGGAGCUUCUUUCCAACCUCCGAGGCUUCUUUCCUGCUGCCAUUGAGCACUACAAGAACCUGCAGACGCCCAUCUGCUUCCCGGGCAGCGUGCCCAACUCCGUGGUCCUGCAGUACAUGUGGCUUCCCGAGGAGGUCAGCGGCCUCAGGGCCCUCGCCCAGAUCUCCAGCCGAGGCAGACACGAGGCGAAGAGGAGCCUGGAUGACGUGUGGCUGCCACGGCGCAUCAGGCGGCGCCAAGCCAGGAAUCACCAGAAGCUGAUCCAGUGGUUGGGGGAAGAGGAGGAGGAGGAAGAGGAGGAGGAGGAGGAGGAGCGGAAUCUGGACUGGGCCUCAGAUUACCUGAGCACAGAGGAGCAGCUCUUGGAGUUGGAGGAUCUGGAGGCGCAGGCCCCCGAGAACCUGGCCCUGCUGCGCGCGGGCGCCAGGACCGACGCCAGCUCUCGCCGCCUCUCGUACCCCUACGGGCGCUCGCUCUGGAAACAGCGCUACGGGCAUCUGCCCAGGUUCCUGCAUUUCUUCGUCGUCCAGAACUGGUUCAAAAAGCUGUUCCCCAUCUUCACCCUGGAGGCCUACCCCGAGGUGGGCACGGCGGAGGGCCUGGCCUCGCUGUUCACCGAUCUGCUGUGCGAGGUAUCCUGGGCCGACUGCGUGCACAUCCUGCGAGCGCUGCUGAGGCUGCUGCCCGACGUGAGCAGGGACCUUCGGGACCGGCUGCAGGACGUCCUCGUGCGCCUGCUCAACCUGGACCGGCCCCCCAGCCUGGAGGACCCCACGCAGAAGCGGUUCGUGAUGCUGGCACUGCAGCUGCUCCUGGCCUGCUCCCUGGAGUCCCGCGAAGUGGUGCUGGAGCUCAUGUCCUACUUCCUGUACUCGCCGGUCUCCUGCUGGCCCGAGCUCAAGAAGCUGCUGGACGGGCUGGGCCUGCAGGACCCACAGGGCUUCCUGUUCAAGGAGAUGAUGACCUGGGUCCAGGGCCCCGACACCAACUCCAAGGCUGCCCUGCGCAAACGCUGCUGCCAGAAGCUGGAGGAAAUGAUCCACUGGCUGCAGAUGGAGUCCUUGCAGCCUUCUGUAGCCAAAUUGUCAGAGAUGCUGCCCAGGGUCUGCGAGCCCUCGGCACCCACACCUUCUCCCAAGGAGGUGCUGUCACAGGUCUCUGUGCUCUCCGGGUCACCUCAUGAGUCAGUGAUGCCCUCGGUCCCUUCCUGGGCCCCCUCACUAGUGGUCUCACCCGGGAAGCUGGACUUGGCCACCCUGGAGUCCCCAGCCAAGAAGGUGCUUUCACCGAUGCACUUCACACCGACCAGGCGCAUGCUGUCCGAGACCCUGCUGCACUUCUCCCGCUCUGAGGGGCGCUUGAGCUCCUCAGUGCCCACUAUACUUCGGGAAGAGCCACUGCCGCUGGAGCAGACGGACUGGUCACGGUCACAGAUGCUCGACCUGGGCCCCAUCGAUGCGCUGAACUUCUUCUGUGAGCAGCAGCGGGUCCGGCAGCAGCGCUUCCUGCAGGAGGAGCGGCAGGGCCUGCACCCCAGCCCAAGCCCGUCGGUGCCCAACACAGUACUGCCUCAGCCCCGGGACUGCUGGCACUACCCCAUCCUCCGGCUUCAGGAAGCCAAGCUCCAGAGGGCUCCAAUGAGACUGAGGGGGGCUGCAAGUGUGAGCAGGACAGUCUUGCUGGUGUGAUGGAUCUGCCAGUGGCCACCUGGAAAGCAGGAACUGGGGGCACGGUGGAAUGUGGUGUGGUCGGCCCUUGGCGGAGCAGCAUUCCUGGUGGGUGUGUCUGUCUGCCAGGAGAGAGGCCCAUCACGUGGGCACAUCUCAGCUCAGGCACGUGGCCUGUAUUUAUUAAUUUUAUUUAUUUAUUCAUGAGAGACUCACGGAGAGGCAGAGACAAGAUGCGGGGAGCCCAAUGUGAGACUGGAUCCCAGGUGCCCGGGAUCAUGACCUAAGCCAAAGGCAGACGUUCACCUGCUGAGCCACCCAGGUGUUGGUGCCCCAAGUCUAUCAAAUUUUAAACUUCUGCUCUGUCAAAGGCCAUGUCAGCAGGCUGGAAAGACAAGCCAUGACCAGGAGAAGACGCUUGCACGUGGCCUGUCCACAGAGAACAUCUAGCUUGAAAGAAAAAAAAAACAGCUUCCAAAAUUAACUAUAGAAGCCAAACAAUCCCACUAGAAAAUGGGUGAAAGAAAAGAAAAGAAAGAAAAUGGGUAAAAGAAGCAAACAUUUCAGCAAAGACGAAAUGUUCCUCAUCCCCAGCAAUUAGAGGAACGCAAAUGAAGAACACCUAAAAUAAAAAAGCUGACAUCGCCAAAGCUGGUGAGGAUUCGAGCAACCGGGUCUCCACACGCUGCUCGCGGGAAUGCCAACCGGUCCAGACACUCGCAAACCAUUUGGCAGUUUCUGGAGAACAAAACAUGCCAGCACUAGGACGCAGCGGUCCCAUCACCGGGCAUUUACCCCAGAGAAAUGAAGAUUGAUGCCCACACGGAAGCCUGUACACAAGGCUUUAGGCUGCUUUACUCGUCACAGCCCCAAACUGAAAAUGACACAGAGGUGCUUGGGCAGGCGGACGUGCGCCCGCGAGCUCUGUAGCAGCAGGAUGAAGUGGUUGACACGGCGACAACCUCCAGAGGUCCUAGGCUGCGUGAUUCCACUUCCGUCACACUCGUGAGGUGACAAGCACGGAGAGGAAGCACAGGCCCGUGGGUGCCGGGGGAGGCCGGGAGCACAACAGCAGGAUACCGUGGGGAGGGCCCUGCUCCCUAUUUCGAUGGCGGCGCUGAGGGCAGAGGGGGAGGUUCAUGCUGAAAGGUUAUGGGUUCUGUUGGGUGAUGAAAACCUUCUGGAGACACAUGGUGGUGAUGGUUGCACAGACCACGAGUGUAAAUGCUACUAACUAUACACUUAAAAAUGUUCAGGGGCUGGGAUCCCUGGGUGGCGCAGCGGUUUGGCGCCUGCCUUCGGCCCAGGGCGCGAUCCUGGAGACCCGGGAUCGAAUCCCACGUCGGGCUCCCGGUGCAUGGAGCCUGCUUCUCCCUCUGCCUGUGUCUCUGCCCCUCUCUCUCUCAGGAAUAAAUAAAUAAAAUCUUUAAAAAAAAAAAAAUGUUCAGGGGCACCUUGGCU